AGAUAAAAAUUUCAUUCAUUUAUACGGUUAAAAAUUGACGUGGUUGACGAAAUAGCUAGACAGUAACACGUGAUGUGUCACGUUUAUAUCAUGCUGUUGUACAAUGACUAAUUUUUAACAGUAAAAAUAGAUGGAAUUUUUAACA
rfam:Gossypium hirsutum cultivar TM-1 chromosome 5, whole genome shotgun sequence